rnacentral:rRNA from 1 species
UACGUAGGGUGCAAGCGUUGUCCGGAAUUAUUGGGCGUAAAGAGCUCGUAGGCGGUUUGUCGCGUCUGCUGUGAAAACCUAGGGCUUAACUCUGGGCGUGCAGUGGGUACGGGCAGGCUAGGGUGCGGUAGGGGGAGACUGGAAUUCCUGGUGUAGCGGUGAAAUGCGCAGAUAUCAGGAGGAACACCGGUGGCGAAGGCGGGUCUCUGGGCCGUAACUGACGCUGAGGAGCGAAAGCAUGGGGAGCGAACAGG